AUGAGCUAUCCAUUAAAGUUACAUAGAUUCUUCAUGCAAUUUUCAUCAGCUAUCCAUUAAAGUUACAUAGAUUAUUGCACAAGGUUUUCUGUUUUGCAGUGCAAUUUUCAUGAGCUAUCCAUUAAAGUUACAUAUGAUUUGUCAUCAUUUUGCAAGUGGAUAUCAAGGAGACAGAAAAAGUUUCAAGUUUCUUUCUGCAAGUGUGAUAGCAAUUUUCAUAGUAUAUACGAUUUUCAUGAGCUAUCCAUUAAAGUUACAUAGAUUAUUGCACAAGGUUUUCAAGGUUUUUGUUUUGCAAGUGUGAAUAUAACGAGGAGGAAAAUGAAAAUGAAGAAAGAAAAAAGAAAAAAACAUUUAUUUAUCUCUUCAAAAUUCGCUUCGCAGUGCAAUUUUCAUGAGCUAUCCAUUAAAGUUACAUAGAUUAAAACCGUUUUGCAAGUGUGAAAUACAACCCAUUAAAGUUACAUAGAUUAAAACCGUUUUGCAAGUGUGAAAUACAACCAGAAGGAAAACGAAGAAAGAAAAAAGCACGAGAGGGGGUUGAGAAGGAUCAUGCAUCAUCCCUGCAGCGGUAGUAUCUGGAGCAGCCCCUGUGGUAAGGAUUAGAGGGCUCGGGGAGGCAGCCGCUGCCUCGGGAGUAAGGCUGGCCUGCUGCUCCGCCAUUGCAGACGGGCUGGUCAGGUUUGAGAGCUCCAGGUGAGAUGUAUUUCUUCUGCCCAAGAAACCUUCUGCUGAUAUCUGAUUCCAUCAGCAUCUCCAAGUCUCUGCUGCAUUCAGCAAUGGAACCUAUGCAUGGCGAUGGCGAGGGUACCGUUGCGUUGAAGGAAGCGGCGUUGAUCGGAGGAGUGAGGGUAAGGAAUAGGAAGAAGACAUGAAAAAGGAAGGUAGUGUGCAUUGCUUCCAUUAGCUUUACUGGAGAGUUUUCAGCAGCACUGACAUUCAGCAAAGCUUAUAAAGUUGGGAUAGUGGAAGACACACUAUGAGCACUUCACCUAAACAAAAACUAUUACAUAAUAUUUUAUUGUGAAAAUACCAAAAAAAUGUCACAGUCUUUGGACUUUUUUUCAAUAAUGUCAUAUUUUUUUAUUAAUUUUUAUCAAAU
rnacentral:lncRNA from 1 species